rnacentral:rRNA from 1 species
GACGAAGGGGGCUAGCGUUGUUCGGAAUUACUGGGCGUAAAGCGCGUGUAGGCGGUUGUUCAAGUCGGGUGUGAAAGCCUUGAGCUCAACUCAAGAAAUGCACUCGGUACUGGAUGACUAGAGGACCGGAGAGGAUAGUGGAAUUCCCAGUGUAGUGGUGAAAUACGUAGAGAUUGGGAAGAACACCAGUGGCGAAGGCGGCUAUCUGGACGGUUUCUGACGCUAAGACGCGAAAGCGUGGGGAGCAAACAGG